rnacentral:rRNA from 1 species
GAUGAACGCUGGCGGCGUGCUUAACACAUGCAAGUCGAGCGAAAAGACGAGGCGCUUGCUGGUUGGACGAUUGGCGCGGACGGGAGUGACACACGAAGAAAACCCACCUAUCAGACUGGGAUAACUACGGGAAACCGGAGAUAAUACGGGAUAAUAUUUCGAACCACAUGGGUCGAUAGUGAAAGAUGGCUUUGCGAUCACUUAUCGAUGGACCUGCGCCGGAUUAGCUAGUUGGUAAGGUACCGGGUUACCAAGGGAAGGAGACGUGGCAGAGCUGAGAGGAUGAGCAGCCAGACUGGAAGUGAGACACGCUACAGACUCCUACGGGAGGGACCAGUAGGGAAUCUGCCGCAAGGGGCGAAAGCCUGACGGAGCAGCGCCGCGGGAUUGAGGAAGGACUUCGGAUCGGAAAACUCGGUUAUUAGGGAAGAACAAACUUGUAAGUAACUGUGCACGUCAUGACGGUACCUAAGCAGAAAGCCACGGCUAACUACGUG